UUCCAUAUAAAAUUAUGUAUGGUAGUACCUGCUCUAUGUUUAUUAUUAAUGGCCGCAGUAUCUUGACUGUGCGAAGGUAGCAUAAUUAAUUGCCUUAUAAUUGAAGGCUUGUUUGAAUGGUUUGACGCGGUGAGUAUUAAUGUCUUAUUUUUUUCUGAAAUUGGUAUGGAGGGCACAGAAUCCUCCUUUAUUAAUUAGACGGAAAGACCCCAGGAUCUUUCUUUUUUGUCUGGGGCAGAUUAGUAUGUUUUAUACUUAUUUAGAUCCUUAUAAGGUUUAAUGAUUUAAGUUACCCUGGGGAUAACAGUGUUAUAGUUUAAUAGAGUUCUUAUCGAAUAAACUGUUUGCCACCUCGAUGUUGACUUAGGUAUUUAGGGUGGGCGUAGUAGUUUGCUCUUUUGGUCUGUUCGACCAUUUUUACCUCC
rnacentral:rRNA from 1 species